rnacentral:misc_RNA from 1 species
GAGGAAAGAAGAAGAGUGAGUCAAUUUUGGCCAGGAGAAUAAAGCGCAAUUGGCCGUGAUUUUCGCGAUAAAGAAAGCACUUGUCUGCAGCUGCUUGAAAGCAAUUAAUUCAUAAACCUAAAUCAUGGCCCUUCGCUUGACUCAAAGAUUGCUGCAGACGCAGACGCCGUUCCUCACUCGCGGAUACCCUUUGCUGGUGACCAAGGAGAAGACCGAGGAUGUGGCCCACACCAAAUCGGCGCUGCAAAAGAAGCUCACAGGCACUGAUAUUCCCUCGGCUCAGUACGGUGGACGCCAUGGAGUCACCAUGCUUCCAGGAGGUGGCAUCGGUCCGGAACUGAUGACCUACGUGCGCGAGAUUUUCCGUUACUGCGGCGCCCCCAUCGACUUCGAGGUGAUUGAUAUCGAUCCCUCAACUGAAGGCAACGACGACUUGGAGUACGCCAUCACUUCUAUCAAAAGAAACGGCGUGGCGCUCAAGGGCAACAUCGAGACCAAGUCCCAGAGCUUGACCGAAGUCUCCCGCAACGUGGCCAUCCGCAAUGAGCUUGAUCUCUACGUGAACGUGGUGCACUGCAAAUCGUAUCCUGGUAUUCCCGCACGCCACCAAAACAUUGAUAUUGUCCUCAUCCGCCAAAACACCGAUGGCGAGUACGCUAUGCUGGAGCAUGAGUCCGUCAAGGGAGUGGUGGAGAGCAUGAAGGUGGUCACCGUGGAGAACGCUGAGCGUGUGGCUCGGUAUGCCUUUGAAUACGCCCGCCAGAACAACCGCAAGAAGGUAACCACCAUUCAUAAGGCGAACAUCAUGAAGCUGUCCGAUGGUCUCUUCCUCGAAGUGGCGAACCGCGUUCACAAGGACUAUCCCGAGCUGGAGCACAACAACAUGAUUAUCGACAACACCUGCAUGCAGGCCGUGUCGAAUCCCCAUCAAUUCGAUGUGAUGAACAUGACCAACCUGUACGGCACCAUUGUGUCCAACGUCAUCUGUGGUCUGAUCGGCGGAGCCGGUCUCAUUUCAGGAAGGAAUUACGGUGAUCAUUACGCCAUCUUCGAGCCAGGCACCCGAAACACAGGCACCGCCAUCGCUGGAAAGAACAUCGCCAAUCCCGUAGCCAUGAUCAGCGCCAGUAUCGACAUGCUGAACCAUCUUGGCCACAAGGAGCACGCCAAGGUUAUUCAAGAUGCCACCUACCAGACCAUCGUCGAAGAUGCCAUUCGUACACCUGAUCUGGGCGGUAACCACUCCAGCACUGAUGUUGUUGAGAACAUACUCAAAAUCCUGAGUGCCAAGCGCGUGAAUUGGCCACAUGGAAAUUAUUUUAGCCAAUUUUAGGCAAUAUCGUACAAGAAUAAACACUCAACCAACCGCUAACAAAACUCAGCAAGAUAAACCAAAUCGAACUAAGCAUAAUACCAAACCAAUCAAAAUUAUAUUAACCCCACAACUAAGCCAAUUUGAGAAAUCUUGUUCCCCAAGCCAAUGCAUUCAGCGUUAAUGUGAUGCCCCGAAAGAAUCGGUUUAAUAAAGUUGAGGUCGAAUUAUUCCGCUGAUUAACCAAAUCCAAUAAUAUCCCGGCUAUAUGUCCAUUGUGUGUUCGUUCGAUGUCAAAGUGUGAUAAAUCAGAUCUACUUGCCGGUCCCGCUCUAAUUUUCUGCACACUGACUUUUUUUUCUUUAUUGAGCUCCAUUUCUACUUCCUCUACUCUAUUUUACUAUCCUAAGUUAAAAGAAAACAUGUAUAACAGAAAGAACACAGUCGAAAUAAUUAUUUUCCCCGAGAUUCGACCAAAGCGAUAUUAAUUUGUAACUUAAUUCUUUUAAAAAUUGUAAUAUUGAGAAGCAAAUUCAAACAAAAUGUAUUAUUCUGUUCGAAUAUUUAUUAGUAAAAGAGACAAUUAAACAAAGACAACUCUGUA